AGGAUGCAGUGGAGGCUCCUCUUCUUCCUAUCCUCCAAGGGCAAGGUGGUGAGGGAGAAAUUGCUGAUGAUAAAGAUACAUCCCCUCCAUCUCUGAGGGAGGGCAGGAUGCCUCCUUGUCUUAAGAAGGCAAUUAUUAGACCGCUUCUGAAGAAGCCUGCCUUAGAUCCCUCAGAGUUGAACAACUACAGGUAUCCUGUUUGAGCAUGUGGACAAUUCACUCACUCAGCUGGGGAAGCAUUACCGGUAAACGUUCUACAAGGCUUGACAAGAAGAUUCGCACAAAAAGGAACAGAUCCAAUUGUUAAAAAACAAACAGCUACAAGGCACUUCCAUUGCCCCAAAAGGGCUUUCUUCCAGACCUCUGCAUCCUUGAAGAAAACCCACUGACUGACGAGAGUGGGAACGAGUUGCUGGCAAAGACCAUGGCAGUGCCUUCUCUUUGUUACCAGCCUCUGGAGGGAAGACGUGGAGUACGGCGGGGUCACCUCUGAAGGUGGUGCUGCUGGAGCGGAGGAGUCUUCCAGGAGCUGUGAGCUAACAUUUAUCUACCUCUUCUGGAGGAAGAAUCAAAGACUCCAUCACCGUGAGACCCUGGACUGAGUUCAUCCCAUUCUGCAGGACCUCUUCAAUAAACAGGCAUUCCGCAGGAGGACGAUUACACUCUAUCAGGGGAAACAGUCCUCGCACGACUGCAACUCUUCUGUUUUUGGAAGGCGCUUCUGCAGCUGCAGUGGUAAGUUAGGAUCCAACUCAACAUCUGAGGCAAACGAGCCGCAUAGCCUAGAGCGGCUGCGAUCGGCUUGCUUUUCCCCCUUUCCAAAUUGUACAAUAUGAAAAGCAUUGUUUUAAAAUGCCACAUUAGAAUACAAGCUGGGCUUCUGAGCAGAGGAAGAGAAGAAGAAAUUGUAUUCCAGUUCAGCCACAACAUUUGAAGCCUGGAGAUGUUAGUUUUUGCAAGAGUUAUAUGACAAUAGGAAGUCAUAUAAUGCCUUUGCAAUGUCUUUGUUUUCCUCCCUGUUAAGAGUACAGAGGGUAAUGCUAAAGUACCUCACGGGGGAGGGGGGGUUAUACAGCUAUAACAUUUGCUAGCAUGCCCAAAUCAUUACUUUGGAAAGAAAAGAAAGCACCGACAGAUGUGGGUGAAGGUUGACAAUUUCAUACCUGGUAUGCCAACUACUCAUGAA